GGGCAGGAGGGCUAUGCCUAGCAUUUAUUUAUUUAUUUAUUUAUUUAUUUAUUUAUUUAUUGCAUACACUAUGACUUUUAGACUCAGCUGGAGAAGAAAACUGAAAACAAUACAUUCUUUCCUCCAAACAGUAAUUCUACCUUGGCAUAUUGCUCCACCUGUGGGCUUUGUAGAAUGGCUGAACAUUUAAAUUCCUUCCUGCGGGACAUUUGCUAAGGCUUCCCUCAUGCUCACUGUGGGUCUGCUUGGAAGUCAUGAUCAGAUUAGAAAUUUGUGGGUUAUUUGAGCAAGGCCAAUCAGGGUUACUUUUCCUAUGCUCUCUUGGGCUUCCUUAAAAAUCUGACUUAAGCAUUCCUCAGAUGGGGCCACAGCAAGCACUGAGCCGUUCCUCUGCUUGGGAAAGGCAGAGCCGAAGAGCAAGAGGACUGGAAGCGAGCUCACUGUAGGCUGUCCUUUUCUCAGAUGCUUUUAGCUCCUGCACAGAGAAAGAGGCAGUGUAAAUCAACCUUCUCUUGCCAAUAAAAUUAUGACAGUUUGCCUCUUGCUGCACAUCCUGCUUUAUCACGAUAAAGAAACAGGUAGCUUAGAUGUGGAAGUGGCCCGUGACUCAUCAGGCGUUUUGCAGUUGAUCAAGCCCAACAGAAGGACAGGCAGCAUCAUUGAGCUGUGGCUGUUUAAAGACUGUGAAAUGUGGCUGGUGGCACCGAGGCAGCUGAUGGUAAAUCAGCUUGCAUUUCCCCUCUGGGAGCACAAAAUCAACCUUGUCGUUAUCAGGAAGAGAAAUGAAAUCUCUAAAUAUUUCUCAAUGUUUUGUCAUCUCUUCCUGUCGAGGUGAUUUAACAUAAAAUUUCCUCAAAGUAGGAAGUGGGGGUAUUAUUUCAUUUCACCUCAAAGAUAAACUUCAUAGUUUUCUUCUAUAAAUUACGUGAAAAGCCUCCAAUUUGCAAUUGGGGAGGUAGCUCAAGAUCAAUGGUGUUUUAAAGUAAAAUAUUAUUAGUAAAAAAUGUGCUUUGUGUUUUGUCCCCUGCCAGUAUGCUGGCUGCUUCUGAAAACAAUGAUAUCCCAGCGUUUGCAGAAACAUAGCAGAAGGGCUAAGAGAAGUUGCUUAUAAAUGCAUUCAGUUAACUUGGUUGCCAAGGGGGUUUGUUUAUUGGCCUUUUGACUGUAUAUUUCUUGCAUGACCUGCAUUUACUAUUUUCAUGCUUUAAACCCCUCUGUUUUUGUUUUUUUUUUUAAUCUUUUCUGCCAUUCUCUUUAGUUGAUAAUAAGGCUCUGCAGGUAGUUGUAAAAUUUCUAUCACCUCUAAGAUCUAAAAUACUAUUUCAAAGAAACAAAACCCCUUUUAUUCUUUUUUAUUAUUCAGGUAUGAAUAAUGCAUGAUCGCUGCAGCGACCAGGGCAACAUCAACAACCAUAUCAGAUGAGCCCGUUGCUCAGACAGAGCCAGCUCUGAGAUCCCGAUCAUGCCUACCUGGAUUAUGAGAGAUAAACUACCUAACCUGAACGCUGCCUGGUGAGGGGCUUCUAUUUGUCUACAGAACGCCUUCAAAGCAAUACUUGGGUUUGUGUUUGACUGAGUAACUUUGGACUUCAGUCCAGCAUGGCCUACAUUGACACACUGAGAACAAAGCAGAAUCAGAAAGUUCACAAGAUGGAUUUGAGUUUUGAGAAUCCUUAUUGAAACAUGUACAGCAAACCCUUAAAAUAUUUCACUCUCCUUUUAAAGCUUUGAACUUAAACAUACCUUUAGUGUUUCAAUGUGCUGUGUGCUUGUGUGUUUCAGCAGCUCACACAUGUAGAUAGGCACUGUAUUCAGUCCUAGUAGAUAUGAUCUGUCAAAACUAGUCCAUAGAGUUCUUUGGGUAUCCUUGAGUCAGGAGUUGUCAUCUGACCCAGCUUUAGCCAGAGCAAUACUAAUUAUUCCUAUAAAAUAGAAGCUUGGUAGAGGAAAUCACUUUUACUUUAGUUUGGCUUCUUGCUUUGGAAGCCUAAGCUUAUUCUGUAGGUUGGAGGCUGUGCAGCCCACAUGAGAUGGGAACAGAGCACUGCAAACAUGGUGUUGAUUGUGGAGUGUCCCGAUGAUGCCCUUUAGCCUCUGAGCUAACACCCCACCCAUAUUUAAUGUGCAGACUUCAAGAGUAUAAGCCACAUUGUAGUAGCAGAGACUAAAGAAGUACUCAAACAAAACCAACCGAAAACGAAAACCAAACCCC
ensembl:processed_transcript Gm6209 predicted gene 6209